rnacentral:misc_RNA from 1 species
UCAAACUUGGUCAUUUAGAGGAAGUAAAAGUCGUAACAAGGUUUCCGUAGGUGAACCUGCGGAAGGAUCAUUAUCGAGUUUUGACUGGGUUGUAGCUGGCCUUCCGAGGCAUGUGCACGCCCUGCUCAUCCACUCUACACCUGUGCACUUACUGUGGGUUACAGAUCGUGAAGCGGGCUCUUUGCCGGGCUCGCGGAGCGCACCUGUGCCUGCGUUUAUCACAAACUCUAUACAGUAUCAGAAUGUGUAUUGCGACGUAACGCAUCUAUAUACAACUUUCAGCAACGGAUCUCUUGGCUCUCGCAUCGAUGAAGAACGCAGC